rnacentral:rRNA from 1 species
AUUGAACGCUGGCGGCAUGCCUUACACAUGCAAGUCGAACGGCAGCACGGGAGCAAUCCUGGUGGCGAGUGGCGAACGGGUGAGUAAUGUAUCGGAACGUACCUUUCAGUGGGGGAUAACGUAGCGAAAGUUACGCUAAUACCGGCAUAUUCUGUGAGCAGGAAAGCAGGGGAUCGCAAGACCUUGCGCUGAUUGAGCGGCCGAUAUCAGAUUAGCUAGUUGGUGAGGUAAAGGCUCACCAAGGCGACGAUCUGUAGCGGGUCUGAGAGGAUGAUCCGCCACACUGGAACUGAGACACGGUCCAGACUCCUACGGGAGGCAGCAGUGGGGAAUUUUGGACAAUGGGCGCAAGCCUGAUCCAGCCAUGCCGCGUGAGUGAAGAAGGCCUCGG